rnacentral:rRNA from 1 species
UACGUAGGGUGCGAGCGUUAAUCGGAAUUACUGGGCGUAAAGCGUGCGCAGGCGGUUUUGUAAGCCAGAUGUGAAAUCCCCGGGCUUAACCUGGGAAUGGCAUUUGGGACUGCAAGGCUGGAGUUUGGCAGAGGAGACUGGAAUUCCUGGUGUAGCAGUGAAAUGCGUAGAUAUCAGGAGGAACAUCAGUUGCGAAGGCGGCUCUCUGGACCAGCACUGACACUGAGGCACGAAAGCGUGGGGAGCAAACAGG